UUCCCUUCGGGGACAUCCGAUAAAAUUGGAAUGAUACAGAGAACAAUAGCAUGACUCCUGCGCGAUGACACACACAAAUCGGGAAAUGGGUCCAAUUUUU